GUAGGGAAUAUUGCGCAAUGGACGAAAGUCUGACGCAGCGACGCCGCGUGAGUGAUGAAGGCCUUAGGGUCGUAAAGCUCUGUUGAAUGGGAAGAAAAAAAUGACGGUACCAUUCGAGGAAGGACCGGCUAACUUCGUGCCAGCAGCCGCGGUAAUACGAGGGGUCCUAGCGUUGUUCGGAAUCAUUGGGCGUAAAGGGUGUGUAGGUGGCCAUGUAAGUCAGGUGUGAAAGCCCCGGGCUCAACCCGGGAAGUGCACUUGAGACUGCGUGGCUUGAGUACCGAAGAGGGUAGUGGAAUUCCAGGUGUGGUGGUGAAAUACGUAGAUAUCUGGAGGAACACCGGUGGCGAAGGCGGCUACCUGGUCGAGUACUGACACUGAGACACGAAAGCAUGGGGAUCAAACAGGAUUAGAAACCCGUGUAGUCC
rnacentral:rRNA from 1 species